UCAGAAUAUUAAAGAUGUCUUAAAGAACGUGCGACAGUGAUUGGUAUCAAUGUCAGGAAAGAAAGUAUCAUUAUCAACCCCAGCUUUUAUUAUCAAAAGAUAUCAACAAUGCCUAUUGUACUGUUCACAGCAAUUAACAGCGACACUUCAUAAUGUACGAGGUACAGAGGCCCUUUCAGAUCAAGCACCUUCGCGGCACCGAUUUUUAUGGAGGAUCGUCAGCUAGCAAACUCCAUCCCGCCACAGACAAACGGUAUUACCAAUAAUACGUAAUCCUGUGUUGUCUUACUCUCCACGAGAACGUAAAUUAAACCGAAGCUUCAUCGUAUUCCUGCAUAAGUAUGAGAAAAAAUAUUCGAGCCUUUCAGCUAGGAUUUCUUCAAGAGGAAUCUUAUCGAUGGUAAUCUGCUUGGAUUAGCCUGCUGGAGUGCAUAUUGAUUUACUCGAAAGAGAAAGCUACCGGACAUUAAAUGGAAGAGAAAAUUUCGCAGAAUUCGGGUCAGUCGUGCGCCGUCUAUAAAUUAAACUGGUCAAAACGAAACGAGGCGGUACACACGAAAACACAGUGGUCAUUUCUUGACCUGUCAACCGAUAGGUGCAAGGGUAUCCUGGAUUUGGGAAAAACCAACCUCCACGACUUGCUACCAUUCCCUGAUUGCGCUUUGUCCGAAAAAAUCGUACCCGCAGAAUGAGCGUCGUAAAACCACAACAAUGAAGGCAAAACGGACCCUUCACGAUUAUCGGUAGAGUAAAGGGCUGUAAAAAUUGUUGGCGUACGUCCGGGGUGUCUCGUAUCUCUUGUAGAAAAGCACGGAUUAAAAAUACGUACCUUAACGAUCGUUGAUGUUAAUCGACAGGAUAAA